rnacentral:rRNA from 1 species
ACAGGGUGACAGCCCCGUACACAAAAGCGCAUGUGUUGUGAGCUCGAUGAGUAGGGCGGGACACGUGGUAUCCUGUCUGAAUAUGGGGGGACCAUCCUCCAAGGCUAAAUACUCCUGACUGACCGAUAGUGAACCAGUACCGUGAGGGAAAGGCGAAAAGAACCCCGGCGAGGGGAGUGAAAAAGAACCUGAAACCGUGUACGUACAAGCAGUGGGAGCACCCUUCGGGGUGUGACUGCGUACCUUUUGUAUAAUGGGUCAGCGACUUAUAUUCUGUAGCAAGGUUAACCGAAUAGGGGAGCCGGAGGGAAACCGAGUCUUAAUUGGGCGUUAAGUUGCAGGGUAUAGACCCGAAACCCGGUGAUCUAGCCAUGGGCAGGUUGAAGGUUGGGUAACACUAACUGGAGGACCGAACCGACUAAUGUUGAAAAAUUAGCGGAUGACCUGUGGCUGGGGGUGAAAGGCCAAUCAAACCGGGAGAUAGCUGGUUCUCCCCGAAAGCUAUUUAGGUAGCGCCUCGUGAAUUCAUCUCCGGGGGUAGAGCACUGUUUCGGCUAGGGGGCCAUCCCGGCUUACCAACCCGAUGCAAACUGCGAAUACCGGAGAAUGUUAUCACGGGAGACACACGGCGGGUGCUAACGUCCGUCGUGAAGAGGGAAACAACCCAGACCGCCAGCUAAGGUCCCAAAGUCAUGGUUAAGUGGGAAACGAUGUGGGAAGGCCCAGACAGCCAGGAUGUUGGCUUAGAAGCAGCCAUCAUUUAAAGAAAGCGUAAUAGCUCACUGGUCGAGUCGGCCUGCGCGGAAGAUGUAACGGGGCUAAACCAU